rnacentral:misc_RNA from 1 species
GAUGAAGAACGUAGCGAAAUGCGAUACGUAAUGUGAAUUGCAAAUUCAGUGAAUCAUCGAGUCUUUGAACGCACAUUGCGCCCCCUGGUAUUCCGGGGGGCAUGCCUGUCCGAGCGUCAUUGCUGCCCUCAAGCACGGCUUGUGUGUUGGGCCCCGUCCUCCGAUCCCGGGGGACGGGCCCGAAUGGCAGCGGCGGCACCGCGUCCGGUCCUCGAGCGUAUGGGGCUUUGUCACCCGCUCUGUAGGCCCGGCCGGCGCUUGCCGAUCAACCCAAAUUUUUUAUCCAGGUUGACCUCGGAUCAGGUAGGGAUACCCGCUGAACUUAAGCAUAUCAAUAAGCGGAGGA